GUUCGUAAUAAGACCUAUCCAGAAGGUUCUAUUGCAGAAGGCUAUUUGGCAAAAGAGUGUAUCACAUUUUGUUUAUGAUAUUUAUGUGAAGUUGAGACUAAAUUUAACCGAAUAGAAAGAAACUAUGAUGGAGGUCAACCAUUGCAAGACAAGUCUCAGUUAUCUAUCUUCUCAAUUCCAGAGAACAUAAAGGCAUUCUUCGUAUACAACAUGGUGAUGAUCGGGUGGAUGAGUUGCACACAAAAAAAUUUGUGCAAUGGUUUUCUGAAAAGAUCCAGCAAUUGAAUGCAGAUGGAAAAGUGAGCGCUCAAAUGCGUUCUUUGGCCCAACAUCCUGGAAAGCAAGCUGUCUGCUACAAAGGUUACAAUAUCCAUGGAUUUCGGUUCCAUACAAUACAACAUGAUGUUACUAAGAAAACACAAAAUAGUGGAGUUAUGGUCAAAGGAGAGAACCAAAUUACUAUGUGUCUUGCUACCAAAGGCAAAGGUUAUAAGGAAGAUCGUUAUGGCAUACCAAGUGUCAACAAUAAGGGUAAGUUGAAUACCCAAGAGCCAUUUGUGCUGGCAUCCCAAGCAACCCAGGUUUAUUAUGUUGAAGGAAUAAAAAACAGUGCUUGGAGUGUCGUGGUGGAAACCAAACCUAGAAACAUUUUUGAAAUGCCUACUGAUGAAGAGGAACCGUAUCAAGAAGAAGAAUCUUAGUCGAGUCACACAUAUGCACCGUAAUGAGGAAGAAGAUAAUGAAGAAUGAGUACUGUCCUUUUGGCAAGGUUGAAGUCUAGACAUCUGAAAACAGCUGGCAAAAUUUAGGCCAAUUAAUGUGCAUUGUAAUGUAUAUGUUGGUGUUCACAUAAAUUUGAAUUGUAUCUCUUUGUUGUUUUGUGUUCCUUGGGAGUG